rnacentral:tRNA from 1 species
UCCCUGGUGGCCUAGUAGUUAAGGAUCUGGCAUUGUCACUGCUAUGUCUUGGGUCACUGCUGUGACGGCUCGGGUUCGAUUCCUGGCCUGGGAA